CGCACGCAUAGUCCCCCACAAGAAGGGUCGACUCUCCUCAUUGAUCAUUCUUGGACUUUGGCUAUCUUUCUAGUAUUUAUUGGGUACCCUUUUGCAGAGGAGAUCUGGGGUGCCCUUUGAAUCUUGUCCUCAACUGUAGUCCAAAGAUUUGAGAAGAUAUAUAGAUCCAAACCACAAAAACACAUCUUGAGAUUCAUAAUUUUUGACAAAUUCUUGAUUUCUGGUACCAUUUUGAUACCAAUUGUUCCAGCAGUUCCUUAAUAUUGCCGCAUAAAGAGUACAGUGUUGUGUUUUUGUUCUUUUUCAUGGUUAAAUCACAUAUGAACAGAAUGACAGGCGGAAAUGGGAUGUUGUACCCAAUAAUUGGUUUUGCAUUAUGUGUUGCUUUCAUAUAUAUGUCUUUUGGGGACCUGUGGAUUGAUUUACACGGAGAAACAAAAUUAAGCUUUGUGGAGAGGAAUGGGACUCAGUUCAUGGUGAAUGGUAAACCUUUUUACAUUAAUGGAUGGAAUUCUUACUGGUUGAUGGACCAUGGUGUGGAUGAAUCUAGCAGAUCCAGGAUCAGUGCAAUGCUGCAAGCUGGUGCCAAGAUGGGACUCACAGUGUGCAGAACUUGGGCUUUCAAUGAUGGUGGAUACAAUGCUCUCCAAAUUUCCCCUGGUCGAUUCGAUGAAAGAGUAUUCAGAGUGAGUUUAAUCUAUUCUAAGUAAAUUGGUUACUGUUUUUUUUACCAUUGUUCAUAUGGAAGUUACUCAAGAUGCUCGGUUCCUUGUUUUAUAUUGGUUAGGAUACAUAUAUUUCUUUCAGACAACAUCCUAAUUGCAUGUUUAGUGAGGUGGAGUGGACAAUAUUAAAGAAGGGUAAUUAGCACAAAACGUCCCUACUUUUCAUGAUUUUUGUGAAAAACGUCCUUAUCUUUCAUUUUUUGGUGUAUUUCAUCCCUACCUUUAUCUUUUCU
rnacentral:lncRNA from 1 species